rnacentral:rRNA from 1 species
UACGAAGGGGGGCUAGCGUUGCUCGGAAUCACUGGGGCGUAAAGCGCACGUAGGCGGCUUUCUAAGUCAGGGGUGAAAUCCUGGAGCUCAACUCCAGAACUGCCUUUGAUACUGGAGAGCUUGAGUCCGGAAGAGGUGAGUGGAACUCCGAGUGUAGAGGUGAAAUUCGUAGAUAUUCGGAAGAACACCAGUGGCGAAGGCGGCUCACUGGUCCGGUACUGACGCUGAGGUGCGAAAGCGUGGGGAGCAAACAGGG